GAAGUCAGCCGGGCAAUUGCUUUUCGGUCAUUCAAUAGUUAUCGAUUAUUACAUUUCGAUAAUUAUUGAAUGGCCGGGGGGAGGAAAGUCCGGGCUCCAUAGGGCAGAGUGCCAGGUAACACCUGGGGGGCGUGAGCCCACGGCCAGUGCCACAGAAAAUAUACCGCCCGGUUAUUCAAUUGAAUAGUCAGGUAAGGGUGAAAUGGUGCGGUAAGAGCGCACCGCGCAGCAGGUAACUGUUGUGGCAGGGUAAACCCCACUCGGAGCAAGACCAAAUAGGGGAGCAAUGGCGCGGCCCGCGCUGCUCCCGGGUAGGUUGCUUGAGGUGUGUAGCGAUAUACAUCCCAGAUGAAUGAUUGCCCCAGCGCAAGCUGGACAGAACCCGGCUUACAGGCUGACUUCUUAU
rnacentral:RNase_P_RNA from 1 species